UUGCUUCUGCAGCACAUACGCUGAAAUUGGAAAGAUACACGGAAGGUAAGCGUGGCCCCUGCACAAGGCUGACACACAAAUUUGAGAAGCAUUCCCUAUUUGG
ensembl:snRNA U6 U6 spliceosomal RNA